rnacentral:rRNA from 1 species
AUUUNAACGCUGGCCGGCAGGCCUAACUCAUGCAAGUCGNUCGGUAACAUUUCAAAAGCUUGCUUUUGAAGAUGACGAGCGGCGGACGGGUGAGUAAUGCCUAGGAAAUUGCCCUGAUGUGGGGGAUAACCAUUGGAAACGAUGGCUAAUACCGCAUGAUGCCUACGGGCCAAAGAGGGGGACCUUCGGGCCUCUCGCGUCAGGAUAUGCCUAGGUGGGAUUAGCUAGUUGGUGAGGUAAUGGCUCACCAAGGCGACGAUCCCUAGCUGGUCUGAGAGGAUGAUCAGCCACACUGGAACUGAGACACGGUCCAGACUCCUACGGGAGGCAGCAGUGGGGAAUAUUGCACAAUGGGCGCAAGCCUGAUGCAGCCAUGCCGCGUGUAUGAAGAAGGCCUUCGGGUUGUAAAGUACUUUCAGUCGUGAGGAAGGUGGUGUUGUUAAUAGCAGCAUCAUUUGACGUUAGCGACAGAAGAAGCACCGGCUAACUCCGUGCCAGCAGCCGCGGGGUAAUA